GACGAACGCUGGCGGCGUGCUUAACACAUGCAAGUCGAACGAAGUGGCGAACGGGUGAGUAAUACGUGGGUAACCUGCCCUCCUUUUUGGGAUAAGCCUUGGAAACGGGGUCUAAUACCGAAUAAAGGGGGAUGGGCUCGCGGCCUAUCAGCUUGUUGGUGGGGUGAUGGCCUACCAAGGCGGUGACGGGUCGCCGGCCUGGGAGGGUGACCGGGCAAGUGGGGACUGAGAUACGGCCCAGGCUCCUACGGGAGGCGGAAGUGGGGGAUAGUGCGAAAUGGGCGAAAGGCUGAUGCAGCGACGCCGCGUGGGGGAUGAAGGCUUUCGGGUUGUAAACCUCUUUCGCAAGCGAACGGGUAGGUGGAGAAGAAGCGCCGGCUAACUACGUGCCAGCAGCCGCGGUAAUAC
rnacentral:rRNA from 1 species